UACGUAGGGUGCAAGCGUUUAAUCGGAAUUACUGGGCGUAAAGCGUGCGCAGGCGGCGCGUUAAGACAGGUGUGAAAGCCCCGAGCUUAACUUGGGAAUUGCGCUUGUGACUGGCGUGCUGGAGUGUGGCAGAGGGAGGUGGAAUUCCACGUGUAGCAGUGAAAUGCGUAGAGAUGUGGAGGAACACCGAUGGCGAAGGCAGCCUCCUGGGCCAGCACUGACGCUCAUGCACGAAAGCGUGGGGAGCAAACAGG
rnacentral:rRNA from 1 species